rnacentral:lncRNA from 13 species
AUUAUUUGUUACUUUGAUCUAUUUUUUACUUAACACUUGUUUUUUUCUCAACUUCUUAAAGCAUUGUUGGUAAGGGCUUGUAAAGUAAGCCUUUCACUGUAAGGUCUACUACACCUGUUGCAUGUGACAAAUAAAGUUUGAUUUGACUAGCUGAUAUCCUACACAUCACAAUGUACAAUGAAGCCUGACCUUAGCUUCAUCAUUUCAUCUCCUUUCAAAACAUUUAAAAAAUAUAUUUUUGAAAAGCAAAAGUGUAGUUUUAUCAGCUUCCUUUAAUGUCUAUGGUUUUACUGGGAGUGUAAUUUCAAAGACAGUGGUUCCACAGAUUGGUCCUCACCCAGUUUAGUUUCGGCAGCACCCUUUGGAUCUCUCUGACAGCUCCCCUACCCAGUAGGGGGCGGGGUCACAUGUACCGGAUGUUGAUACAGUCUGUGGAACAGCUGUGAAAGAACAACAAAGGUUACGCCACAUCGACAGGGUCGACGACAAAAACAAGGGGGAAAUACAACGAAGCAGGUUUUAACAUUCGUGUAGACACAGAACUCCGAAAAUCACAGAUUCACGCGUGUAGCGACAGAACCGAGAGGGGAAGAAUGAAGUGGAAAGGAACGGUUCGGAAAAUAAUUACAAUGGAGCGUAAAUGAGUUUCUUUUUCCUAACGUAGUUAAGCCAAAACCACACCCAUUAUCCGAUGGGAGCGUCCGACUACGCUCGCAUUGACUAGCUAGCGUUGUUUCACUCACAGGCGAUCAGUGCAGUGGCGUUCCAAUUUAAGGAUGGAAAGUGUAAUUUAACAAUUAGCUGCCUAUUAUUAUCAUGUUUGCCCAUGUUUUUAUAUUCAGAGUUUCAAUGAGUUGUAAAAUGUCUCAACUCUGAAUUCCCGCAAUUGAAGGUCAGCUAAAUUUACCUAGACUACUUAAUCUUAAGGAUCCGACUGAAAUUUCGCGCUACUCACUUCCGGACUUGGAGAGCGUGCGUCUUUCUUUUUCCCCAACACAGUUAAGCCAAAACCACGCCCCGUUAUUCAGAUAGGCUAUCUACAACGCUAUGAGCGCUCCAAUUCCGGAAGUGAAUAUCACGUUGUGUGAAAUUUCAGCCCCUGAUUAAUAACAUUUUCAAUAUUUGAAAAAUAUAAUAACAUAAUGUCCCUUAAACGCUCAAAGACAGAUUCAGUGGCCGUAGCAUAGUAUUCGACUGAAUGAUUA